rnacentral:rRNA from 1 species
UACGAAGGGGGCUAGCGUUGCUCGGAAUCACUGGGCGUAAAGCGCACGUAGGCGGAUUGCUAAGUCAGGGGUGAAAUCCUGGAGCUCAACUCCAGAACUGCCCUUGAUACUGGCGGUCUCGAGUCCGGGAGAGGUGAGUGGAACUGCGAGUGUAGAGGUGAAAUUCGUAGAUAUUCGCAAGAACACCAGUGGCGAAGGCGGCUCACUGGCCCGGUACUGACGCUGAUGUGCGAAAGCGUGGGAGCAACAGGAU